rnacentral:rRNA from 1 species
UCUUAGUGGCGGACGGGUGAGUAACGCGUGGGUAACCUGCCUUAUACAGGGGGAUAACACUUAGAAAUAGGUGCUAAUACCGCAUAAGCGCACGGGGCUGCAUGGCCCAGUGUGAAAAACUCCGGUGGUAUAAGAUGGACCUGCGUCUGAUUAGCUUGUUGGCGGGGUAACGGCCCACCAAGGCGACGAUCAGUAGCCGGCCUGAGAGGGUGGACGGCCACAUUGGGACUGAGACACGGCCCAAACUCCUACGGAAGGCAGCAG